AACGAACGCUGGCGGCAGGCUUAACACAUGCAAGUCGAACGCAUCCUUCGGGGUGAGUGGCAGACGGGUGAGUAACGCGUGGGAACGUGCCCUUCAGUUCGGGAUAACCCAGGGAAACUUGGGCUAAUACCGGAUACGUGAGAGAGCAGAAAGAUUUAUCGCUGAAGGAUCGGCCCGCGUCUGAUUAGCUAGUUGGUGGGGUAAUGGCCCACCAAGGCGACGAUCAGUAGCUGGCCUGAGAGGAUGAUCAGCCACAUUGGGACUGAGACACGGCCCAAACUCCUACGGGAGGCAGCAGUGGGGAAUAUUGGACAAUGGGCGCAAGCCUGAUCAGCCAUGCCGCGUGAGUGAUGAAGGCCUUAGGGUUGUAAAGCUCUUUCGUCCGGGACGAUAAUGACGGUACCGGAAGAAGAAGCCCCGGCUAACUUCGUGCCAGCAGCCGCCGUAA
rnacentral:rRNA from 1 species